GACAGAGGGUGCAAACGUUGUCCGGAAUCAUUGGGCGUAAAGCGCGUGUAGGCGGCUCGGUAAGUCUGCUGUGAAAGUCCAGGGCUCAACCCUGGGAUGCCGGUGGAUACUGUCGAGCUCGAGUCCGGAAGAGGCGAGUGGAAUCCUGGUGUAGCGGUGAAAUGCGCAGAUAGUCAGGAGGAACACCAAUGGCGAAGGCAGCUCGCUGGGACGUGACUGACGCUGAGACGCGAAAGCGUGGGGAGCAAACAGG
rnacentral:rRNA from 1 species